UACGUAGGGGGCAAGCGUUGUCCGGAUUUAUUGGGCGUAAAGAGCGUGUAGGCGGCCAUACAGGUCAGCUGUGAAAACUCGAGGCUCAACCUCGAGACGUCGGUUGAAACCGUAUGGCUAGAGUCCGGAAGAGGAGAGUGGAAUUCCCGGUGUAGCGGUGAAAUGCGCAGAUAUCGGGAAGAACACCCGUGGCGAAGGCGGGCUUC
rnacentral:rRNA from 1 species